CUUAAGUUCCCGUACACCCUCUCUCUCCUCCAGGUACCGCUUCUUCGAGACGAGGUUGGGAGGGACGGAGGAUUAUGUUCUACAGAAAAAAACACACACGAACAUAACGUCGUCGGUACGGUACCUCCGCUACUACUCGUGCUCCCCUUCCGGCGACGAAGUUGGGGCAAUUCGAAUGCACACCCUAAACGAAGCCUUCAACAGGUGCACUCAGUUACCCACGACGAAGUACACCCGUAGGAAAGACACCACAUACAACCUCUCCAAUGUGUGGACUACUACAAAUGUCGAUCCGCGUCCUUGUUCGUCUCCGGCUCCUUCACGUCCGUGCGCGACGACCGGAACCGUCCACAUCCUUGGCACGCUCCUUCCAAGUCGCGCGACGUGUUCAGCCCGGUGCGGGCUUCGCGGCGCGGUUGCGUACACACGCACCAGCCACCCAAUCGGUUCUAGACGUAAGACGCUGAAGCAGAAGUGGUACCUGUGUUUGUUCCUGACUAACCACCAAGAACCAUC
rnacentral:rRNA from 1 species